rnacentral:rRNA from 1 species
UGAGGAAUAUUGGGCAAUGCCCGAAAGGGUGACCCAGCAACGCCGCGUGGAGGAUGAAGGUCGUAAGAUUGUAAACUCCUGUUAGAGGGGAAGAAUAACUAAGUUUGGAGCUUAGUAUGACUGUACCCUCAGAGAAAGCCCCGGCUAACUACGUGCCAGCAGCCGCGGUAAUACGUAGGGGGCAAGCGUUGUCCGGAUUUACUGGGUGUAAAGGGCGCGCAGGCGGAAUGGAAAGUCAGUGGUGAAAUCCUACAGCCUAACUGUAGAACUGCCUUUGAUACUUUCAUUCUUGAGUUCGGGAGAGAGAGACGGAAUUCCAGGUGUAGUGGUGAAAUACGUAGAUAUCUGGAAGAACACCAGUUGCGAAGGCGGUCUCUUGGUCCGAUACUGACGCUGAGGCGCGAAAGCGUGGGGAGCAAACA